GACGGGGCCCCGCACAAGCGGUGGAGUAUGCGGUUUAAUUCGACGCAACGCGAAGAACCUUACCAGGGCUUGACAUCCCCUGCAAAACCAUAGAGAUAUGGCGGAGGUCAUCAGGGUGACAGGUGGUGCAUGGUUGUCGUCAGCUCGUGUCGUGAGAUGUUGGGUUAAGUCCCGCAACGAGCGCAACCCUCGUCUUCAGUUACCAUCAUUCGGUUGGGGACUCUGGAGAGACUGCCGGUGAUAAACCGGAGGAAGGUGGGGAUGACGUCAAAUCAUCAUGCCCUUUAUGUCCUGGGCUACACGCGUACUACAAUGGCGUACACAACAAGAUGCGAUACAGUGAUGUGGAGCAAAUCUUCUAAAUUACGUCUCAGUUCGGAUCGAAGUCUGCAACCCGACUUCGUGAAGUUGGAAUCGCUAGUAAUCGCGGAUCAGCAUGCCGCGGUGAAUACGUUCUCGGGGCUUGUACACACCGCCCGUCAAACCAUGAGAGUCGGUAAUACCCGAAGCCGGUGGCAUAACCGCAAGGAGUGAGCUGUCUAAGGUAGGACCGGAUGAUUGGGGUUAAGUCGUAACAAGGCUGCA
rnacentral:rRNA from 1 species